ACAGCAGUAGCCGCGGUAAUACGAGGGGAGCUAGCGUUAUUCGGAAUUACUGGGCGUAAAGCGCACGUAGGCGGCUUUGUAAGUUAGAGGUGAAAGCCCAGAGCUCAACUCUGGAAUUGCCUUUAAGACUGCAUCGCUUGAAUCCAGGAGAGGUGAGUGGAAUUCCGAGUGUAGAGGUGAAAUUCGUAGAUAUUCGGAAGAACACCAGUGGCGAAGGCGGCUCACUGGACUGGUAUUGACGCUGAGGUGCGAAAGCGUGGGGAGCAAACAGGAUUAGAUACCCGUGUAGUCCCUGUCUCUUAUAC
rnacentral:rRNA from 1 species